rnacentral:rRNA from 1 species
GACGGAGGGUGCAAGCGUUGUUCGGAAUCACUGGGCGUAAAGCGCGUGUAGGCGGUUCGAUAAGUCGGACGUGAAAGCCCGGGGCUUAACCCCGGAAGGGCAUCCGAAACUGUCGAGCGUGAGUACGGGAGAGGGAAGCGGAAGUCCUGGUGGAGAGGUGACAGUCGUAGAUAUCAGGAGGAACAACGGGGGCGAAGGCGGCUUCCUGGACCGAUACUGACGCUGAGAAGCGAAAGCGUGGGACGCAAACAGGAUUAGAUCCCCCCGGAGUCC